GGACGAACGCUGGCGGCGUGCUUAACACAUGCAAGUCGAGCGGUAAGGCCCUUUCGGGGGUACACGAGCGGCGAACGGGUGAGUAACACGUGGGUGACCUGCCCUCAGCUCUGGGAUAAGCCUGGGAAACCGGGUCUAAUACUGGAUAUGACUCCAUGACGCAUGUUGUGGGGUGGAAAGCCUUGUGCGGCUGAGGAUGGGCCCGCGGCCUAUCAGCUUGUUGGUGGGGUGANGGCCUACCAAGGCGACGACGGGUAGCCGGCCUGAGAGGGCGACCGGCCACACUGGGACUGAGACACGGCCCAGACUCCUACGGGAGGCAGCAGUGGGGAAUCUUGCGCAAUGGGCGAAAGCCUGACGCAGCGACGCCGCGUGAGGGAUGACGGCCUGGUUGU
rnacentral:rRNA from 1 species